rnacentral:rRNA from 1 species
UAACGCGUGGAUAACCUGCCGUAUGCAGGGGGAUAACAGUUGGAAACAGCUGCUAAUACCGCAUAAGCGCACAGUACCGCAUGGUACGGUGUGAAAAGAUUUAUCGGCAUACGAUGGAUCCGCGUCUGAUCAGCCAGUUGGCGGGGUAACGGCCCACCAAAGCGACGAUCGGUAGCCGGCCUGAGAGGGCGGACGGCCACAUUGGGACUGAGACACGGCCCAAACUCCUACGGGAGGCAGCAGUGGGGAAUAUUGCACAAUGGGGGAAACCCUGAUGCAGCGACGCCGCGUGAGUGAAGAAGUAUUUCGGUAUGUAAAGCUCUAUCAGCAGGGAAGAAAAUGACGGUACCUGACUAAGAAGCCCCGGCUAACUACGUGCCAGCAGCCGCGGUAAUACGUAGGGGGCAAGCGUUAUCCGGAUUUACUGGGUGUAAAGGGAGCGUAGACGGCGCUGCAAGUCCGGAGUGAAAGCCCAUGGCUUAACCAUGGUACUGCUCUGGAAACUGUGGAGCUUGAGUGCGGGAGGGGCAGGCGGAAUUCCUAGUGUAGCGGUGAAAUGCGUAGAUAUUAGGAGGAACACCGGCGGCGAAGGCGGCCUGCUGGACCGUAACUGACGUUGAGGCUCGAAAGCGUGGGGAGCAAACAGGAUUAGAUACCCUGGUAGUCCACGCCGUAAACGAUGAUUACUAGGUGU